GGCCUCAGUAUGCUUAUCAAGGCCUUGGCUGAGCUGUGCUCGCUCCAGAGCUCCAACCUCACAACACUGCAGCUCUCUGUCCAUGAAGAGUUCCUUUCAAUCCUUUUGUCACUUUGCUAAGGCCAUCUUUUGAAACUUGACUCUGGUCGUCCUGGUUCGUUUGUACCACUUAGAAUAACAUGCACUAGAGUUGAAUGUCUCAAACUUAGGGCAUCAGAAUCACCGGGGAUCUUGACAGACUGUGGGUCUUAGCAGGUCUGGGUUGGUGCCCAGGGUUCUGAAUAUUUAGCAAACUCUCAGGUGAUACUUUAGGGUAGGAAAUACUCUGGCAAAUUCCUUAAACUCAGAGCCUUCUCUGAAGCUGGAUUCCUCUGAGAAUUAAGUGGGAGAAUGUUUGUAAGGGAGUGUUUUAAAAGCCGUUGUUUCCUGCGUUCCCUGACCGUCUCCACUCCCCAGUGGUGCACCUUCCCUGUCUGUGCUUACCCAUCGCUAGCAGGGCUCCUGGCAUCUCCUAGGGCCUUAAUGUUUGUUUAGUGGUGAGGGAAUGACCCGUGGAGGAAUUAACUGGGUUUUUGUGUUACUCAGAUGAACAUAAAAUUAAGACUGCCACUUUUGUUUUUUCCUUCUUUAGGAAUGCUUUAAGAUGACCAUUAAAUCUAAGCCCUAAGUGACAGACCCAGGUGUUGGACUCUGAGCUCAUUUCUGUAUACUUCGUCCUGUGGCCGUUAACUGUAGGCUCUAUUGCCAGAAGUCAACACUCAUUGACCAUUUUCAAGUACAACUUUGUAGACUAUUUCCAGUAGUUUUUUGUUGAAAACCAUUUCUUGUAGCAAGUGUCAAAUGGUAAUUCUUGUGAACUAUUUGAAAGUAUUGAUACUGCGUUUGGUUUAAGGAGAAAUUAGAAGUGAUCAGAACAGUGGUUCUCAAAACUUGUGGGAUUUGCUCUCACCUGGAGAACUUUUUAAAAGGAGGAUUCCCUUCUGUUGAUUUGCUGUCCUUUGGUACUCCAAACUAGAACCUGAUUGGAUGGCCAAGAAGUCAGGCCUGUGCAUCUUGUUAAAGUGAAGACCUUAACACCAGCGGCAGGCAGCAGCUGUGCUGUUUCGCUGUAGAUAAUUUGAGGAGGCCCCUAAGGCUGGGCAUUAAUCUGCUCAGUGCUUCUCCCACACAGGACGAGCAAAGAGUGAUGGAUUCCAGGGCAGAAGUCAGUGGAGAGCUGGUGUAACCUUGGACACCAUCCUAGAGGAAGUCUUGGUAACAGCCACAUUUUCAAAGAGAUCAUGAGGAGUGCAUGAUUUUGUUAGCCUUGUGGUUUCACCAGCGUGAUCACCAGGCCUUUUCUGGGAAAGAACACAGUGGGAAGUGGAAACUGUAAAUGGACACGCUCCUUGGGAGUCCUCAGUCCCCCACACAGGCCCCCCUGUCAGCCCCUGACUAGUCUUCACACUUCAGGCUAGGAAAUCACCCCACGGUUUUGAAGAGAAACGUGAUGUUGGUGAAAUGCCAGAUUGGAAACCAAAGGCUUGUGGGUGGCCCAGCAGCACCACAGCCAGAAGGAGACUCCAAACUGGGCUAGAAGAGAGAAACAAUUGGUAAGGCCAAGGAGACCAUAGUCGGAGUCGGGUCUGAGGACGAAGAGAGUCCCCACAUGGGAAAAAAGUCCUGGGGUCAGAAUGGAAAUGAGUGGACAAGAAACAAAGUGGGAGGAGGUGAGAGCAAGCAAUUUUGGCGAGGUGCCGCGAGCAGCAUCUCCUGGGCCUCCUUCCCACACGGAUAGUACACGCGCCUCAGAACUCACAGCGCCCACGAUCCUACCACUCAGAGCUGGAAUCCAUUUUCCAGGCUCAGGACUGUUAGGUGUGGCCAUGUGACUGUAUUCUGGCCAACGGCAUGUGAGCAGAGUAGCAGGCACGACUUCUAGGUCCCUGAAGACCUCCCAAGCACAAUCCUCACUCUCUGCCAUCGGUUCUCCUGCUGAAGGGAGAGGACUUUAAGGAGAAAAAAAGGAUGGAGCCACAAGGCAGAAAAGGCCUGGGCCCCUGAGUGAUUAUGUGGAGCAGGGCCCCUUCCCCACCUUUCCUACCUCCUUCUCCUCCCCCUCUUUCCUUCCUCUCUCUCUUCUUUCCUACUUCUUCCUUUCUCUUUUCCUUCCUCUCCUCAGUCCUUCCACCAACUCACAAUGGACUGUAAACGAGAAAUAAGCUCUUGUUAUGUUAAACUACUGGCCUUUUGGGUUUAUUUAUUACAACAGCUGGAGUUAUUUGCUUAUCUAACACACAAUGGAGUGUACCUUAGGGGGUAUUUCCCAAACUGAGAUGUCCUACUCCUUUGAGAAACUUUCUCCUGCACAAAUGGGAGUGGGCCUGAACUGUGAAGAAUUAACCUCACCCAAACAGAAGUCUGGUCUUUGCUCUCAGCUACUGGGAGGUGAUCUCCAGGCGUGGAAUGUCCCAUCUGAUGUGAGCGUCCUUGUUUUCCUGGGGUUUUAGCUACUGGACCGUCUAACAGUGUGAUUUAUGAUGAGGGCUUUGGGCCACACGGUAUCAGUUCUGACCUCUGGACUGAAUGGAGACAAAAGAUAUGAGCCCAGCCUCUGGAAGCCAUGGAGACUAAAGGUCAGCCGCACUGGCAGCAUGUCAUGGAGCCCCAGUAAAAACUGGGAGAAGGUUGCCCAUCCACGACUUCACAGGUCACGACCAGAAGCCCCAUAUUUGAACCUCCCUGGACUCUGCCCUACGUGUGUCUUCCCUUGGCUGGUUCCAGUUUGUAGCCAUUCUCUGUAAUAAAACUCACCUGGGAGUGUAUUAGUUUUCAUAAGAGCGCAGAGAGGCAGAAGAAGGUAUGGAAAUACAGAGAAAUUAAACAGAGGAGAGACCACAUGGCUCCAGAGAGAUGCAGAGAGAGCAUGAUGGACCAAGUAGCUGUCUUGAUUCCUGACAUCUUUCCAGUUCCUGGUUCCAGUCCCUCCUGAGGUCUGACUACUUCCUGUCCCUGUAUCUUUGUAAUAAGCUACCCUCUGGGAAAGUUUCUCCUGCUCGCAAUAAGAAGAACCUUGGCUAAGAUGCUAUAUAUUUUUCAAGUACUUUGCAUAUGUUAUGAGGCAGUAAAGUCUACAGGGGAAAAGUGCCACACUGCCAGAUCUGUGUUCUAGAACUCCUCAGCCACUUCUGUGUUCUGAAGCCUUGGACAUGUCCCAAGUUCUCUGGGUCUUGGUUUUGUUAUCUGUAAAAUGUGGGUGGGACUAGAUGGUGUCUAAGGUACUGACACAUUCUCUGGUUCUGUUCCAUGUGG
rnacentral:lncRNA from 1 species